AGAGAGAGACAUGCGCGCAUAUCAAUAAGCGGAGGAAAAGAAACUAACAAGGAUUCCCCUAGUAACGGCGAGUGAAGCGGGAAGAGCUCAAAUUUGAAAUCUUAAAGGGUUUCCCUUUACGAAUUGUAGUUUAAAGAAGUGUUUUCUGUUGAGGUUUUGGUAAAAGUUCUUUGGAAUAGGACAUCAUAGAGGGUGAGAAUCCCGUAUUUGACCUUUACUUUCAACUUUGUGAUACACUUUCAAAGAGUCGGAUUGUUUGGGAAUGCAGUCCAAAAUGGGUGGUAAAUUUCAUCUAAAGCUAAAUAUUGGCGAGAGACCGAUAGCGAACAAGUACCGUGAGGGAAAGAUGAAAAGAACUUUGAAAAGAGAGUUAAACAGUACGUGAAAUUGUCAAAAGGGAAGCGUUUGACACCAGUGUUGUUUUUCUGAAAAUCAAUUAAAGAACUGUUUAUGCUAAGCUGUUUAGACUUUAUCAGCUAUCUGUUUAGUUUUGAGCUUUUCUUUAAUGCACUUUUCAGUUAACAAGUCAACAUCAAUUUCUUUUGCUGUAAAAAAGCUUGAGGAAGGUGGCUUGAGAUUCGUCUUAAGUGUUUAUAGCCUCUUGCCUAUGCAGUCGGAGAGAUUGAGGUCUGCAGCGUAGAUCCUUCGGGGUUAAAUAGCAUUUGUGCUAAGUUAUAGCCUUUCAUAGACAACUUGUUGACUAUGAUCAGUCAUGUAGCUUACUCGCUUAUGCUAUUUUACCUACGCUUAGGAUGUUGAUGUGAUACUGCGAGC
rnacentral:rRNA from 1 species